AAAGAUAGCUCCUGGGUGAACGGUGGUUUUUGUAAUGCAGUGGUUGUCACGUGUGCCACCCACGCGAAAUGGAAACUGGGCAGAAAUAUCUCCUUAUGGGUCUCUCUCUCUCCCUCUCUCGCUCUCUACUUCAGCUUGGGUAAUUUGUUUCACUAAACUCAACUCAAGCUCUCUUAAACCCAGGUCUGGUGCUUAAAACAAUAUGUCUUUAUUCCCUUACAGGUCUAGGGGUCAGAAAUCUGCAAUCAGUUUCGGUGGACCAAAAUGAAAAUGUCAAACAGGGUGUCUGACACCCUCCAGAAGCACCAGAGGAGAAGCAGCUUUCCUUGGCCUUCCCAGGUUCUACAGGGACAUUCCUUGGCUCAUAGCUCCCCCUCCCAUUUUCUUUCUUUCUUUUCUUUUCUUUUCUUUUCUUUUCUUUUCUUUUUUUUCUUUUUUUUUUUUUUGAGACAGAGUCUCGCUCUGUCACCCAGGCUGGAGUGCAGUGGCGCCAUCUCGGCUCACUGCAAGCUCCGCCUCCCGGGUUCACGCCAUUCUCCUGCCUCAGCCUCCCGUAGCUGGGAUUACAGGCACCCGCCACCACGCUCGGCUAAUUUUUUGUACUUUUAGUAAAGACGGGGUUUCACCGUACUAGCCAGGAUGGUCUCGAUCUCCUGACCUCGUGAUCAGCCCGCCUCGGCCUCCCAAAGUGCUGGGAUUACAGGCGUGAGGCACCGCGCCCGGCCUCCUCCUCCCGUUUUCAAAGUCACCAGCGUAGCAUCCUGAUUCAAGAUCACAUUGUCUUCUUUUUUUUUUGUAGCCAAAUCUCCCUCUGCCUCUCUCCCCUGGUGACGACAAUGGCUGGGGUCUUGACUUGCCAAGGUAACUCGUUGGGGAGCAGAGAGUGGGAUCCGCAGUGUUCUGGUGGCUGUUGGGAUCUGGGCGCGAGGAAGGAGAGUGGCUCUCAUGAUUCUCUGCAUUCUCAGUGCAGCGUGGCCCGUACUGGUGGGGCCACUGCUACCGACUAAGCAGUACGGGCCGCCUGGAAGACCGAAGGCGGAGUUCGCUGAUGCGGAAGCCAAGGCACAGGGCAAUAAGGAUCCGCGCCAUUUCUUGUGAUGUCACCUGAAGCCUUGGCGGGUAGCUGCCUCUCAUCCAUUCGGAGGACAGGGCUCCAGCCACCGGCAGCUCUGAAAGAGUUUGAAGAAUUUAUUGUUCACAGAUGGUAUUUAAAUGGACUUAUUUCUAAAAGUCACAUUCCUUUAUUACUUAUUUGUUAUUAGAAGUACCCAUUUUCAUAUGUGUUUAAAACUAUUUGUGUCUCAAAUUCUCAGGAGAUUGAUGCAUCCCAGUUUACUCUUUUUGGCAUAUGUUUUUACUCAUAAAUUAGGUUAAAUUUCAUACUUGUUUUAUAAAAUUUAGUUAUUUGGUUACAUUAAAAUAUUUGUAUCCAGAUAAGAAGUCUCUUCCUUCUCCUAUGCUUUUUUUGGAAUUUAGAGCAUAUCUGAAAUAAAAUUAAUUUACUUUUUAUUACU
rnacentral:lncRNA from 1 species